rnacentral:rRNA from 1 species
AGACGUCUACAUUAGAUACCCCCUGUAGUCCCAGCCGUAAACUAUGCGCGUUAGGUGUAUCGGUGACCACGAGUUACCGAGGUGCCGAAGGGAAACCGUGAAACGUGCCGCCUGGGAAGUACGGUCGCAAGGCUGAAACUUAAAGGAAUUGGCGGGGAGCACCACAACGGGUGGAGCCUGCGGUUUAAUUGGACUCAACGCCGGGAAGCUCACCGGAUAUGACAGCGGAAUGAUUGCCGGGCUGAAGACUCUGCAUGACUAGCUG